rnacentral:lncRNA from 1 species
AGACCUUUGGACUGUUUCUAGGACAAUGUCGUGAACGGAAUUUAAUGUACUUUGUGUGGACUACUUUAUGUUGGUGUAACUCGACAAACUUUGCGUAAAAGGAUUAAUCAACACCAGUCUGAUAAUAAAGAUACAUAGGAUUCUUUAUAACCAUUUAUUCAACCGGACCAUGAUCCUUCUUUAUCUAUGAAUGUGCGCAUCAUAAAGAUAUCACCACACCAAUAGCCC